UUAAAAAUGGCAUAGUGGGGAGUAUGAGGGUUUUGAUUUUUAGUUUAAGGAUAGGCUCUAGUCCUAUUUAG
rnacentral:tRNA from 1 species